rnacentral:rRNA from 1 species
AUUGAACGCUGGCGGCAUGCUUUACACAUGCAAGUCGAACGGUAACAGGCCUUCGGGUGCUGACGAGUGGCGCACGGGUGAGUAAUGCAUCGGAACGUGCCCAGAGGUUGGGGAUAACGCAGCGAAAGCUGUGCUAAUACCGCAUGUGAUCUGAGGAUGAAAGCGGGGGACCAGGCAGCAAUGUUUGGCCUCGCGCCUUUGGAGCGGCCGAUGUCAGAUUAGGUAGUUGGUGGGGUAAAGGCCUACCAAGCCGACGAUCUGUAGCUGGUCUGAGAGGACGACCAGCCACACUGGGACUGAGACACGGCCCAGACUCCUACGGGAGGCAGCAGUGGGGAAUUUUGGACAAUGGGCGCAAGCCUGAUCCAGCAAUGCCGCGUGCGGGAAGAAGGCCUUCGGGUUGUAAAACGCUUUUGUACGGAACGAAAAGGCUCUGGCUAAUACCUGGGGAUGAUGACGGUACCGUAAGAAUAAGCACCGGCUAACUACGUG